UGUACGAGAUCUCCAAGCAGAUGAGGUGGACUCCCUGGCCAGCGAGAAAUGAACAGCGCGGCCCGUGGAAGAGCGUGGGCUGCUGUUGGGCUGGGGUGUUGCCUUUAUCACACACCGGAGAUUUAUGCCUGCACUGAGCAAGGGAUUCUUCUGGCCAAGAAAAGAGGCCACUAGCAGCUCAGUGUCGGGUUUCCAGCGGACAGAAAGGCAAGCUUUGCUGCUCUGGAACGUGAAAGCCAACUUCUGACUCUCAGGCCUCCUGACCCAACCCAACAUCAGAGCGAAAGGCAGACUUCACAGGCUGGCACCCUCCCUCUCCCAAAUCCCCAAGUUUUCCCAAGCCUGUGAAUCAUGAAUCAAGAAGCAUUCCCUUGGAGACUGAGAGUUCGGAGCAACAGUGAAUCCUAGAAGAAAGAAGGUCGUUUUCCCUCAAACUCCCGUUUCUUUGGAAAGUUAGAAGUUGGAUCUUCUGCCUAAUAAAGGAUUGUUAUUUAA